rnacentral:misc_RNA from 1 species
AAUGACCCCAUUUUUGCCAUAACACGCAAUCAAUACAACUUUCAACAACGGAUCUCUUGGCUCUCGCAUCUAUGAAGAACGCAACGAAAUGCGAUACGUAAUGUGAAUUGCAGAAUUCAGUGAAUCAUCGAAUCUUUGAACGCACCUUGCGCCCCUUGGUAUUCCGAGGGGCACACCCGUUUGAGUGUCGUGAAAAUCUCAACCUCCUCGGUUUCUUCUGGACACCGAAGGAGGCUUGGACUUUGGAGGCCUUUGCUGGCGUCUCUCGCCAGCUCCUCUCAAAUGAAUUAGCGGGGUCCUCGUUUGCCGAUCCUCGACAUGUGAUAAGAUGUUUCCAUGUCUUGGUUUCUGGCUCUGUUGCUUUUGGGACCCGCUUCUAACCGUCUCAACCCGAGACAAUGUUUGAGCGUGUCUACCUUCUCGGGAAACGCCCUCAAGCCCACCAACCCUUGACCUCAAAUCGGGUGAGACUACC